UUUUUAUAGUGUAUUAAAACACAUAACAUUUUCAUUGUUAAAAAGCCUUAGCUAAAAAC
rnacentral:tRNA from 1 species